GUGCCAGCAGCCGCGGUAAUACGUAGGGGCCAAGCGUUAUCCGGAAUUAUUGGGCGUAAAGGGCGUGUAGGCGGCCUGAUAAGUCAGAUGUUAAAUCUACAGGCUCAACCUGUAGCCGCAUUUGAUACUGUCGGGCUAGAGAGUGGUAGAGGAAAGUGGAACUUACGGUGUAGCGGUGAAAUGCGUAGAUAUCGUAAGGAACACCAGUGGCGAAGGCGACUUUCUGGGCCACUUCUGACGCUGAGACGCGAAAGCCAGGGGAGCAAACGGGAUUAGAUACCCUAGUAGUCC
rnacentral:rRNA from 1 species